UACGGGGGGGGCAAGCGUUGUCCGGAAUUACUGGGCGUAAAGCGCACGUAGGCGGCUUCUUAAGUCGGUGGUGAAAUCCUGGAGCUCAACUCCAGAACUGCCUUCGAUACUGGGAAGCUCGAGUCCGGGAGAGGUGAGUGGAACUGCGAGUGUAGAGGUGAAAUUCGUAGAUAUUCGCAAGAACACCAGUGGCGAAGGCGGCUCACUGGCCCGGUACUGACGCUGAGGUGCGAAAGCGUGGGGAGCAAACAGG
rnacentral:rRNA from 1 species